rnacentral:tRNA from 1 species
GGAUUGUAGUUCAGUGGUAGAAGGCUUGCCUAGCAUGGGUGAGGCACUGGGUUCAAUUCUCAGCACCA